AGAGUUUGAUCCUGGCUCAGGAUGAACGCUGGCGGCGUGCCUAACACAUGCAAGUCGAGCGAAGCACUUAAAAUGGAUUCUUCGGAUGAAGCUUUAUGUGACUGAGCGGCGGACGGGUGAGUAACGCGUGGGCAACCUGCCUUACACAGGGGGAUAACAGUUAGAAAUGACUGCUAAUACCGCAUAAGACCACAGGGCUGCAUGGCCUGGUGGUAAAAACUCCGGUGGUGUAAGAUGGGCCCGCGUCUGAUUAGGUAGUUGGCGGGGUAACGGCCCACCAAGCCGACGAUCAGUAGCCGACCUGAGAGGGUGACCGGCCACAUUGGGACUGAGACACGGCCCAGACUCCUACGGGAGGCAGCAGUGGGGAAUAUUGCACAAUGGGGGAAACCCUGAUGCAGCGACGCCGCGUGAGUGAUGAAGUAUUUCGGUAUGUAAAGCUCUAUCAGCAGGGAAGAAAAUGACGGUACCUGACUAAGAAGCCCCGGCUAACUACGUG
rnacentral:rRNA from 1 species